rnacentral:rRNA from 1 species
CCUACGGGAGGCAGCAGUGGGGAAUAUUGCACAAUGGGGGAAACCCUGAUGCAGCAACGCCGCGUGAAGGAAGACGGUUUUCGGAUUGUAAACUUCUGUUCUUAGUGAAGAAUAAUGCCGUUAGCUAAGGAGCCAGCCACUGCUAACUACGUGCCAGCAGCCUCGGUAAUCCGUAGGUGGCAAGCGUUGUCCGGAAUUACUGGGUGUAAAGGGGGCGCAGACGGGAGCGCAAGCCAGGGGUGAAAGCCCGGGGCCCAACCCCGGGACUGCUCUUGGAACUGCGCGGCUGGAGUGCAGGAGGGGAAGGCGGAAUUCCUGGUGUAGCGGUGAAAUGCGUAGAUAUCAGGAGGAACACCGGUGGCGAAGGCGGCCUGCUGGACUGCGACUGACGUUGAGGCCCGAAAGCGUGGGGAGCAAACAGGAUUAGAUACCCGUGUAGUC